UACGGAGGGUGCAAGCGUUAUCCGGAUUCACUGGGUUUAAAGGGUGCGUAGGUGGGUUGGUAAGUCAGUGGUGAAAUCUCCGAGCUUAACUUGGAAACUGCCAUUGAUACUAUCAGUCUUGAAUAUUGUGGAGGUUAGCGGAAUAUGUCAUGUAGCGGUGAAAUGCUUAGAUAUGACAUAGAACACCAAUUGCGAAGGCAGCUGGCUACGCAUAUAUUUGACACUGAGGCACGAAAGCGUGGGGAUCAAACAGG
rnacentral:rRNA from 1 species